UACGUAGGGGGCAAGCGUUGUCCGGAAUCAUUGGGCGUAGAGAGCGUGUAGGCGGCUCGGUAAGUCCGCUGUGAAAGUCCAGGGCUCAACCCUGGAAUGCCGGUGGAAACUGUCGAGCUCGAGUCCGGAAGAGGCGAGUGGAAUUCCUGGUGUAGCGGUGAAAUGCGCAGAUAUCAGGAGGAACACCAAUGGCGAAGGCAGCUCGCUGGGACGGUACUGACACUGAGAAGCGAAAGCAUGGGGAGCGAACAGG
rnacentral:rRNA from 1 species